CAACCCAGGGAAACUUGGGCUAAUACCGGAUAAGCCCUUCGGGGAAAGAUUUAUCGCCGAAGGAUCGGCCCGCGUCUGAUUAGCUAGUCGGUGGAGUAAUGGCCCACCAAGGCGACGAUCAGUAGCUGGUCUGAGAGGAUGAUCAGCCUCACUGGGACUGAGACACGGCCCAGACUCCUACGGGAGGCAGCAGUGGGGAAUAUUGGACAAUGGGCGCAAGCCUGAUCCAGCCAUGCCGCGUGGGUGAUGAAGGCCCUAGGGUUGUAAAGCCCUUUCGGCGGGGAAGAUAUGACGGUACCCGCAGAAGAAGCCCCGGCUAACUUCGUGCCAGCAGCCGCGGUAAUACGAAGGGGGCUAGCGUUGCUCGGAAUCACUGGGCGUAAAGCGCACGUAGGCGGAUUGCUAAGUCAGGGGUGAAAUCCUGGAGCUCAACUCCAGAACUGGCUUGAUACUGGCGGUCUNGAGUCCGGGAGAGGUGAGUGGAACUG
rnacentral:rRNA from 1 species